ACAUGCAAGCGAAGCCCCGCAAGGGGAGUGGCAGACGGGUGAGUAACGCGUGGGAACGUGCCCUUCGGUCGGAAUAACUCAGGGAAACUUGAGCUAAUACCGGAUACGUGCGAGAGCAGAAAGAUUUAUCGCCGAAGGAUCGGCCCGCGUCCGAUUAGCUAGUUGGUGAGGUAAUGGCUCACCAAGGCGACGAUCGGUAGCUGGUCUGAGAGGAUGAUCAGCCACAUUGGGACUGAGACACGGCCCAAACUCCUACGGGAGGCAGCAGUGGGGAAUAUUGGACAAUGGGCGCAAGCCUGAUCCCAGCCAUGCCGCGUGAGUGAUGAAGGCCUUAGGGUUGUAAAGCUCUUUCGCCAGGGACGAUAAUGACGGUACCUGGAUAAGAAGCCCCGGCUAACUUCGUGCCAGCCGCUGC
rnacentral:rRNA from 1 species